rnacentral:rRNA from 1 species
AUUGAACGCUGGCGGCAUGCCUAACACAUGCAAGUCGAGCGGAGCGGCGGACGGGUGAGGAAUGCCUAGGAAUCUACCUGGUAGUGAGGGAUAAAGUACGGAAACGGGAGAUAAGACCACAUACGAUCAGAUGAGCCUAGGUCGGAUUAGCUAGUUGGUGGGGUAACGGCCUACCAAGGUGACGAGCCGUAGCUGGGCUGAGAGGAUGAUCAGUCACACUGGAACUGAGACACGGUCCAGACUCCUACGGGAGACAGCAGUGGGGAAUAUUGGACAAUGGGCGAAAGCCUGACCCAGCCACGCCGCGUGUGUGAAGAAGGUUUUCGGAUUGUAAAGCUCUUUAAGUUGGGAGGCGUUAUCUACAGAGAAAGCACCGGCUAACUUCGUGCCAGCCGCCGCGGUAAUUC